CCUACGGGAGGCAGCAGUGAGGAAUAUUGGUCAAUGGGCGCGAGCCUGAACCAGCCAAGUCGCGUGAGGGAAGACGGUCCUAUGGAUUGUAAACCUCUUUUGUCGGGGAGCAAAAGACGCCACGCGUGGCGUUCCGAGAGUACCCGAAGAAAAAGCAUCGGCUAACUCCGUGCCAGCCGCCGCGGUAAUACGGAGGAUGCGAGCGUUAUCCGGAUUUAUUGGGUUUAAAGGGUGCGCAGGCGGAAGAUCAAGUCAGCGGUAAAAUUGAGAGGCUCAACCUCUUCGAGCCGGUGAAACUGGUUUUCUUGAGUGAGCGAGAAGUAUGCGGAAUGAGUGGUGUAGCGGUGAAAUGCAGAGAUAUCACGCAGAAAUCCGAUUGCGAAGGCAGCAUACCGGCGCUCAACUGACGCUCAUGCACGAAAGUGUGGGUAUCGAACAGGAUUAGAUACCCCAGUAGUC
rnacentral:rRNA from 1 species